GAUGAACGCUAGCGACAGGCCUAACACAUGCAAGUCGAGGGGUAGCAUGGUGUAGCAAUACACUGAUGACGACCGGCGCACGGGUGAGUAACGCGUAUGCAACCUGCCUACUACAGGGGGAUAGCCCGGAGAAAUUCGGAUUAAUACCGCAUAAUACUUUUGAUUCGCAUGAAUUGACAGUUAAAAAUUUAUUGGUAGUAGAUGGGCAUGCGUUCCAUUAG
rnacentral:rRNA from 1 species